AAUAAUUCAGUCUACCACAGAUUACAAUGAAGUUUUUAAAAUUAUGAAGUAUGUCUACACAUCCUAUCACAGAAAGAUCUCAAAGGUGUGAGCUCACAACUGGAAAUUCCAAUUCAGAAGAUUUAGCUUUGGUAUCUGGAUUCUAAAAAUGCUACUUAGGUGUGACUCUCCACCUAUGUCUUCUAACUUGAAAGUGACUAUAAGUAUCACUCUGAAAAUAUCUUGCACCCAGCGCCUUUGGAAGCUUCGCUGAUUUCAGCCUCACGACGGGAUGUCUCAGCCAGCCACGAGGAAGACCAGCGUUAGCCACAGUCUGGGACAAACCCAGCUCACCUGUGCCGCCUGUCGGACCUUGAUAUGAAGCUGAAGACACCAGCCAGAUUCCCCUUUCUGUCAGGAUGAGUUCCCCAACAGAGAACUGGGUGUCUUUCCAGCCAGUCAAAUUAAGUUGGGAUCAUCUCCAUCAGAGAGAUCAUAAAAACACUGAGCUUCAAAAGGUAA
rnacentral:lncRNA from 12 species